rnacentral:tRNA from 1 species
GCGGGCGUGGCGGAAUUGGCAGACGCCCCGGAUUUAGGUUCCGGUGCCGUAAGGUGUAUGAGUUCAAAUCUCUUCGCCCGCACCA